rnacentral:lncRNA from 1 species
GGGAAGCAGAGACCUGGGGAGGGGCCCUUCUGGCUCCUGAAGCCCCAGGGCUAUAGAUGUACCAAGCCCUGGGGGGCCCCCACUGCUCACUCUGGGAACAAUGCAAAUGCCAGCUCAGUCCUUUCCUGAACAUUCUCGCCCAUCCUGGCCGGCACCCCAGUCACCCUUGUCCCCUUUUCACCUUUGAUGCUAAUGAGGUACAAGUGACAUCCCCCACCAAGCCCCCUG